GACGAACGCUGGCGGCGUGCCUAAUACCUGCAAGUCGAACGAGUGGCGGACGGGUGAGUAAUGUCUGGGAAACUGCCUGAUGGAGGGGGAUAACUACUGGAAACGGUAGCUAAUACCGCAUAACAUCAGAUGUGCCCAGAUGGGAUUAGCUAGUCGGUGGGGUAACGGCUCACCAAGGCGACGCUCCCUAACUGGUCUGAGCGGAUGACCAGACAAACUGGAACGUAGACACGGUCAAGACGACUAAGGGAGGCAGCAGUGGGGAAUAUUGCACAAUGGGCGCAAGCCUGAUGCAGCCAUGCCGCGUGUAUGAAGAAGGCCUUAGGGUUGUAAAGUACUUUCAGCGGGGAGGCGUUACCCGCAGAAGAAGCACCGGCUAACUCCGUGCCAGCAGCCGCGGUAAUAC
rnacentral:rRNA from 1 species